rnacentral:rRNA from 1 species
UACGUAGGGGGCUAGCGUUGUCCGGAAUCAUUGGGCGUAAAGAGCGCGUAGGCGGCCAGAUAAGUCCGGUGUGAAAGUCAAAGGCUCAACCUUUGAAUGCCGCUGGAAACUGUCUGGCUAGAGUCCGGGAGGGGCGAGUGGAAUUCCUGGUAUAGCGGUGAAAUGCGCAGAUAUCAGGAGGAACACCAAUGGCGAAGGCAGCUCGCUGGAACGGUACUGACGCUGAGGCGCGAAAGCGUGGGGAGCAAACAGG